AAGCCAGUUCCCAUAUGAUCACUCAAGUUAAGCAACAUUGAGCCUGAUCAGUACCUAGAUGGGUGACUGCUUUGGAAUACCAAGUGAUGUU